rnacentral:rRNA from 1 species
UAGAGUGCUCAAAGCAGGCCCAGCCGCCUGAAUAUUCGUGCAUGGAAUAAUGGAAUAGGACCUCGGUUCUAUUUUGUUGGUUUUCGGAACUCGAGGUAAUGAUUAAUAGGGACAGACGGGGGCAUUCGUAUUGCGACGUUAGAGGUGAAAUUCUUGGAUCGUCGCAAGACGAACUACUGCGAAAGCAUUUGCCAAGAAUGUUUUCAUUAAUCAAGAACGAAAGUUAGAGGUUCGAAGGCGAUCAGAUACCGCCCUAGUUCUAACCAUAAACGAUGCUGACUAGCGAUCCGCCGGCGUUAUUCCCAUGACUCGGCGGGCAGCUUCCGGGAAACCAAAGUCUUUGAGUUCCGGGGGAAGUAUGGUUGCAAAGCUGAAACUUAAAGGAAUUGACGGAAGGGCACCACCAGGAGUGGAGCCUGCGGCUUAAUUUGACUCAACACGGGGAACCUCACCAGGCCCGGACACCGGAAGGAUUGACAGAUUGAGAGCUCUUUCUUGAUUCGGUGGGUGGUGGUGCAUGGCCGU